GACGAACGCUGGCGGCGUGCUUAACACAUGCAAGUCGAGCGGUAAGGCCCUUUCGGGGGUACACGAGCGGCGAACGGGUGAGUAACACGUGGGUGACCUGCCCUCAGCUCUGGGAUAAGCCUGGGAAACCGGGUCUAAUACUGGAUAUGACUCCAUGACGCAUGUUGUGGGGUGAAAGCCUUGUGCGGCUGAGGAUGGGCCCGCGGCCUAUCAGCUUGUUGGUGGGGUGANGGCCUACCAAGGCGACGACGGGUGCCGGCCUGAGAGGGCGACCGGCCACACUGGGACUGAGACACGGCCCAGACUCCUACGGGAGGCAGCAGUGGGGAAUCUUGCGCAAUGGGCGAAGCCUGACGCAGCGACGCCGCGUG
rnacentral:rRNA from 1 species